UUUUUUCAAAGUUUUAUUUCCAUAUAUCUCUCAAUUCAGUGAUGCUUUUUCAUACAAAAUGUAAAUGGCAUAUUUUCUAAUGUUAAGAUUGCAAACCUGUCUUUUUUCAUAAGUGUUUCCAUUUUCUUUUGUUUUAAUACUAUUCUGGAGAAAGUGAGCAUGUGUUUUUGUUGUUAACAGGCAUGGUUUAUUUGUGAAGUGUCCUGAGACAGGUGAGGGAGCGAGUGGACAGGGAGGACAUCAAACUCAAACAAAUACAUUCUUCAUUAGCCAAGAGAAAACAGUGGGAAAAAAAUGAGUACAUUACAGUUUUUCCAAUAUAUUUUUUAAAUGUCAUAUUGUCAAUGAAACAACCUAAUUUCUGUAGUAUACAUUAUUCAUUUUUUGUGUGUAAUUUAUUCGUAAAUAAGCCUGAGUACUUUCUGUACAUUUUGUAUUUUUGUUUUGCAUAUUCACGUGUAAAUAAAAUAAAAGUGCUUAUGUACAUUGUUAAUUUUUUUUAAUGUAGCUUAUAAUUUUUUUCACAAAACAUUCUUUUAUAUGUUUAUUUGUUUGUCCUGUAAAUACUUUUUUACACAUUAAAACAAAUUGUUCUAUACAUAAUAGAAAGUACUUUUUACAACUAUUUACAACAUAGCUUAGGUUUAACAUCAGAAACAACAUCAGUUUGAGCCCGGCCCUGCCUCCAUGUGUUCUGGGGUCUUCAGGAGGUCAAUCUCUUGGUGAAUGUCCAGCACCUCCUCAGAGACCUUGGAGGACAGUGCGGUGACAGUGGAACGAGGCAUCUGCCAAACACUCUGGAGACCAUCUGUAUGAUGUACCACUAGCAGACAGAAGAGAAACACCAGGGUCUGGAUCGUGGCACACCAUCACUGUUGCCGUUCACUUCUCAGUAGAUCCAGCAGCACAGUCAGGGUCUCCCUGCUCAGAACAAAACCAUUAAACACCUGUCCAGCGCUGCCACAUUCAGCUUUAUCCUGCAGUACAGGGGUCUGCUCUGAUUUAGGGAAAGAAGGAAAAGAGAAACUGUUUAGAGCUAUGACAACGUAAUUAGUACAAGAAAUAUUGACAUACUUUAGGGUGAGUAAAUGAUUACAGGAUUUUCAUUUUUGGCUGAACUAUCCUUUAAGUAAAAGUAUUAUCUUGCAUGCUCUAAUAUACUUAAGGUAUUGAGAGUAAAAGUAAAGGUAUGUGAGGUAUUGUCUUGAAAAAAAGAAUUUGUCAGGAUGGUUUUACAUUAAUAAUAUUGCUGCACUUCUGUGUAUGUUGCAGUUUACUUCUAAAUAUGUUCAAGGUUAUUAAAUGUAAUGUUGCUGGACAUUAAGCUGUACUAUGCUUCUUAUUUUUUUUUUUUAAAUAGUUUUAUUUUUAUGGUUAACUGUCUUAAAUAUGGGUUGCAAACCUGUCUACAUAUGGUCAAGACAAUAAACUACAUAA
rnacentral:lncRNA from 1 species